AAACAUAACAUCCUGCGUCGUCAAUCGUCAAUUCGUCAUCCUCCCCCUUCCUUCCCCCAACCGUGUGUGCGUGCGAGAGCAGAGAGUUGGCACACCGUGGCAGUUGAGGCCUGGCUCGGAGCAGCCUGGGACGGGACUGCGGGACGGGAGGGAGGGAGCGCCGGAGCGGGCGCGUCGUGCAGCCCCGGCUUCGAACGGGGGCGUCUCGGCGCCUCUGCUUCAGCCGGCGUUCGGUAGCUUAACCCCACGUGACGCGGCCACGCCGCCGCUGAUGGAGGACGGUAGGGAACAAGGAUGCCGUGACUCGCGAGUCGCGGCCUCCGUCGGAUGGCGACGCCGUGGCCGGCGGCGCCCCCUUGCCCGUCAUUGGGGCUCGGCAUUCCAUCGAACACCUCCCGUGCACCGGCGGCGAGCGAAUCUGCCAGAAAAGUCAACGAGCCAGAUUGUCUUGGAAAUAACUUAAAAUGCAAUGGCCUGGUCUCAUGGAGCAUCUGCCUUAUUUUCGCAGGUUCACAAACUCGAGCAGAUCCUGAUUUGAGGGCCCUCCAUCCGCGAUGCUCGUGCACGCCCUGCUCUUCAAGGACAACGCCCUCGCCUUGAUCCCCUCGUCUCCAAGCAGCCGGGCGACCUUGUCCCUGAUCUCCUCCUUGGUGACGAUCCCCUGUUCAUCUGCGCAGAUCCUCAAACCAGUACCCCACAUGUCGCAGAUGUAGCUCUGGUUCAAGAACUGGUCGGCGAAGUAUGGCCAGCACAGGAACGGGACACCAUGACACACCCCUUCCAUCGUCGAGUUCCAUCCACAGUGCGAGAUGAAGCAUGCCACCGAGGGGUGCGAGAGCACGCGCUGCUGGGGAGCCCAGCCGACGACCAGCCCCUUGCCUCCAAUGCGGCAUCUGAACUUCUCCAG